GGUGGCUUGGCCGGAGGAUGAGAUGGUGGGUGUGUUGGUGGCUUGGUCGGGGGCUGAGUUGGAGGCUUGGUUGGUGGCUUAGUCGGGGGCUGAGUUGGUGGUUUAGGCGGGGGUUGAGUUGGAGGUUUGGUUGGUGGCUUAGUUGGAGGUUGAACUGGUGGCUUGGGUGGAGCAGAAGUUGGGGGCUUGGUUGGUGGUUGCACUGGCGCCUUGGGUGGUGGAUGAACUGGAGGAGGAGUGGGGGUUGGGGGCUUAGUGGGUGGAUGAGGAUGGGGGUGAGGGUGAGGGUGAGGGUGGUGGUGAUGGUGGUGGGUUGGUGGGUGACUAGGCGGGACUACAGGUGAAACAGCAUGGUAAUGAGG
rnacentral:lncRNA from 1 species